GUGGGAAUAGGGUUUCUCCAUGUUGACCAGGUUGGUCUCAAACUCCUGACCUCAAGUGAUCUGCCCACUUCAAUCUCCCAAACUGCUGGUAUUACAGGCUUGAGCCGCGGCCCUGGCCUUUUUGUGUGUGUGUGUGUGUGUGUGUGUGUGUGUGUGUGUGAGAUAAGUCUCCGGCCAGGCUGGAGUGCAAUGGCAUGAUCUUGGCUCACUGCAACCUUCGCCUCCCAGGUUCAAGCGAUUCUCCAGCCUCAGCCUCUCUACUAGCUGGGAUUACAGGUGCCCGCCAGGACACCCAGCUAUUUAUUGAUUUUUUUUAGUAGAGAUCGGUUUUCGCCAUGUUGGCCAGACUGGCCUCAAGUGAUCCACCAACCUCUGCCUCCCAGAGUUCUGGGAUUACAGGCGAGGGCCACCGAUGCACCUGGCAGGCAUGGAAGAGGUUCCCUUGGGUCCUGCUCAGAGGAGUUACGCUGGGGAAAGCAAGUGGAGGUGCUCCUUGAAGAAAAUAGGGAAUCUCACAUCUCAGGGGUUCUGUCCUGGCCUGCCGCCCUGGAUCGUCCAGCCUGGGUCGGGGUGGGAAGACCUUGCCCUUCUUGACUGGGUUUGAGUGUGAGUGUCCCAUUUCGCCAAGGCCUAGCCCGCGGUUCCCAGUCCCUGGCACCACCCAGCAGCUCCCGGCUCCCCCUCCCCUCCAGACCUGGCACUCGCCCUCAACCAAAAUGGCGCCGACGGCCUCAGUACGUCAAGCGACGUGCCCGCCGGCCUCCUCCCGCGCUUCUUUUAUCCCCGCAGCCGGAAGCCGAGCAGCAGAGCGGAAAGCCUGACUUUGGGGUCCGCGGUGGUUUAGGCAGCGCCAGGGCUGUUGUGUGGCUGCACGGUGGUGCUGCAGGGCGGGAUGCUGUACCCCCGGGAGAGCCCGUCAUGGAAGUGCAAGGAGCUGGACAGCCCCUGGAGCUUCCGCGCCGACUUCUCCGACGACCGGCGCCGGGGCUUCCAGGAGCGGUGGUAGCGGCCGCUGCUGCGUUUGGCCCCACCCUGGACAUGCAGGUUCUCUCCAGCUUCAAGAACAUCUGCCAGGACUCGCGGCUAUGGCAUUUUUGUCAGCUGGGUGUGGCACAAAUGGGAUGUGACCUUGCCAGAGUGGUGGACCCAGGACCUGCAGAGAAGAGUGGUGCUGAGGAUUGGCAGUGCCCACUCCUAUGCCAUUCUGACUUUGACUUCAGCUCGGCGGGACUGCAGCGGUCUGUGCUUCUGUUCACGACACUCACCACCUGCAUUGAUGACAUCACCAUCACCAUCACCACCAGCGUGGAGCAAGACAGUGGCGAGAGCUUCCAGUUCCCAUCCACCUACAAAGCUCAAAUCCAGACUGUCUGAGCGGGCACCGGCUCCCAAAAUCACCUGUGUGGUUGACCUCAUUUGGAGAAGAGGGGUCUUCUUGCCUAUGGUCACACAGCUCAGGGUGGCAAUCCUGUCCCUUUCCCAUGGAGCUACCCUCACUCCAGCUCCCCUUGGUACACAUUGUGCUCAAGGAACAGGCAGCUUACCAG
ensembl:lncRNA